AUGGAGCGGCCCUCUUUUGCCAGAAGGCUUGCCUGCCUCACCGUACUGAUGAUGGCCGCCACACCCGCGCUUGUCUCGGCCGCCGGGCCGCCGCCUUCGCUGGAAAAACAAGCAGCGGCGCUCCUGGCCUGGAAAGCCAGCCUCCACAACCAAAGCCAAGUCGGUCUGCGGUCCUGGAGAAACACGUCGGCGCCUUGCAGUUGGCGCGGCAUCCGGUGUGGCGCACGGGCAACUUCCGGGCACCAGCCAGAGCCAGUGGUCACCAGCGUCUCCUUGCGUGGGACGCGGCUGCGAGGGACGCUGGAGCCCCUCGACUUCUCCGCCCUGAGCACCUUGCGGGCCCUGGACCUCUCGCGCAACCGGCUGCACGGGAGCAUUCCCUCCAGCGUGGAGGUCCUCAAGGAGCUCCAUGCGCUGCUCCUGCACGGCAAUCGGAUAAGAGGCUACAUUCCACCUUCUCUGGGAAGCCUCACAAGAUUGCAUUUCCUAAUGCUCCAUGACAACCAAAUCUCCGGCGAAAUACCGAGUCAGAUAGGCGAGCUGGAUAAUCUUGUGGGUCUAAACCUGUCAGGCAAUCGUCUGGUUGGUCAUAUCCCUCAUCAAGUAGGACGCCUACCGCACUUGGCUACAUUAGAUUUCUCCAACAAUAACCUGUCAGGUUCAAUCCCAAGCAGCUUAGGGAAUCUGACUGAACUAAUUAGCUUGCGCCUCCCAGGAAACCAACUUUCUGGACAUAUUCCGGGAGAACUGGGUUAUUUGUUCAACUUAGAGCACUUGGAGCUUAGCCACAACCCGCUCACAGGCUCCAUCCCGAUUAGCUUUGGGAAUUUGACAAAGCUCUCUGCCUUGUACAUCGAUAGUAGCCAACUCUCUGGACACAUUCCUCAACAACUAAGUUCUUUGGUCCACUUGGAGAAAUUGGUUCUUAGGAACAACACACUUACAGGCCCUAUCCCAAAGACCUUAGGGAAUCUGACUAAACUCACUACUUUGCAUCUUCACAGGAACACACUUUUUUGCCACAUUCCUCAAGAACUAGGAUUUUUGAUCGAGCUGAAGGAAUUCAAGCUUCACAGAAACACACUAAUAGGUUCGAUCCCAAAUAGCUUGGGGAAUUUGACAAAAAUCACUACAUUCUAUCUUUGCAACAACCAAAUCUCUGGACACAUUCCUCAAGAACUGGGCUAUUUGGUCAACUUAGAGGACUUGGAUCUUGGGAACAACACACUAACAGGCCCCAUCCCAAACAGUUUAGGGAAUUUGACUAAGCUCACCUCCUUAGGCCUUUAUAUGAACCAACUUUCUGGAUCCAUUCCUCAAGAAGUUAGCAAAUUGAGAAAUCUGGUUUACUUUCUACUCGGCUUUAACAACCUCACUGGUGCCUUGCCAUCGAAUCUUUGUUCGGGAGGCCGACUGCAGAAUUUCACCGUUGUUGACAACAAUUUAACUGGACCUGUGCCAAGAAGCUUGCUUAACUGCAAAAGUCUAGUCAGAAUUCGUCUUGAACGAAAUCAGCUCAAUGGAGAUAUCUCUGACAUGGGACAUCUUUCAAAUCUUGUAUAUAUUGACAUCAGUUCUAAUAAACUAUACGGGCAAUUAUCUCAUCGGUGGGGUGAGUGCUACAAACUUACAAUGAUGCGUGCCUCAAACAAUAUUAUAACUGGAGUCAUACCCCCAAGCAUAGGGAAAUUAUCUCAGCUUGGGAUACUUGAUGUUUCAUCAAACAAACUUGAAGGGCAAAUCCCACAAGAAAUCGGCAACCUGUCUGCAUUAUUCUAUCUGAGCCUUGGUGAUAACUUGCUUUGGGGAAGUAUACCACAAGAAAUUGGAGCCCUAAAAAGUUUGGAGCAUUUGGAUUUAUCAUCGAACAACCUAAGUGGGAUGAUACAAUGGUCAAUUGGGAACUGCUCCAAGCUUCGCUAUGUGAAGUUGAGCCAUAAUCACCUCAGUGGCAACAUUCCAAUCGAACUAGGUAAGUUGGUAAACCUACAAGAGUUGUUGGACCUAAGUGACAAUUCUUUUCUCGACUCUAUUCCGAGUCAGUUGGGUGGUCUGAACAUGCUUGAAGCCUUGAAUCUUUCACAUAAUACACUGAAGGGCCGCAUUCCACCAUCAUUUGGGAGCAUGACCAGCCUCCUAUCUAUGGACGUAUCAUACAAUAAACUAGAAGGGCCGGUGCCACAAAGUAAGCUCUUUAGAGAAGCUUCAGUUGAAUGGUUCUUCCCCAAUAAGAAUUUGUGUGGUGCCGUGAAAGGUUUGCCCACUUGUGAUCCUCCUCCGAGUGGUGGGCGGGAAAUGAAGUCCAAAGCUAUUCUGCUUGCUAUAAUGCCAGCUAUUUUAUUUUUUGGGUUCAUCAUGACACUAGUAACAUUGCAAUGUAAAAGGAAGAAAUCCAUGGCACAGGAUCUAAAUGAAUUGCACCAGACAAAGUUGUUCGCCGUCUGGGACUUUGAUGGACAAGAUGUGUACAAGAAAAUUGUUGAUGCCACAGAAAAUUUCAGUGACACCCACUGCAUUGGAAUUGGAGGUAAUGGAUCAGUGUACAGAGCUCAGUUGCCAACAGGGGAAAUAUUUGCUGUAAAAAAGAUUCAAAUGAUGGAAGAUGCUGAGAUAUUUAAUUGUGAAGUAGAAGCGUUGAUGCAUAUUCGGCACCGCAACAUUGCGAAGUUAUACGGCUAUUGUUCUGCUCCUCAGGGGAGAUUUCUUGUGUAUGAAUACAUGCAUAGAGGAAGCUUAGCAGCAUCUUUGAAGAACAACGAAACUGCAAUUGAAAUGGUUUGGGUGAAGAGGUUAAAUGUAAUUACGGACGUUGCUCAUGCUUUGUCUUACAUGCAUCAUGAUUGCUUUGCGCCGAUGGUCCACAGAGAUAUAACAAGCAGCAACAUUUUGCUUGACCUUGAAUUCAGAGCAUGCAUCUCUGAUUUUGGUAUUGCCAAAAUACUAGACAUGGAUGCGCCAAGUUGCACAAAGCUUGCCGGGACAAAAGGAUAUCUGGCCCCAGAGCUUGCAUACACAACAAGGGUGACGGAGAAGUGUGAUGUUUAUAGUUUUGGAGUACUUGCUCUAGAGUUGUUUAUGGGACAUCAUCCAGGUGAUUUUCUUUUGUCCAUGGCCAAGAAAAGUAUAUUACUUGAGAAAUUGUUGGACACCCGGCUCCCACUCCCUGAAGCAGAGAUUGUAAGUGGCAUAUCUAAAGUUAUCGCGAUCGCUGUUCGGUGCAUAGAACCUGAUCCAUCGCACCGUCCAACUAUGCAACAAGUAACCAAGGUGUCCUCAACAGCUGAAGGAACAGCUAAUGAUUAUCUGCACACUGUCAUUGCCAUCCCUGCCUGCUGGUCGUGA
rnacentral:rRNA from 1 species